CCUACGGGUGGCAGCAGUGGGGAAUAUUGGACAAUGGGCGAAAGCCUGAUCCAGCCAUGCCGCGUGUGUGAAGAAGGCCUUCGGGUUGUAAAGCACUUUCAGUGGGGAAGAAAGCCUUGGGGCUAAUACCCUCGAGGAAGGACAUCACCCACAGAAGAAGCACCGGCUAACUCCGUGCCAGCAGCCGCGGUAAUACGGAGGGUGCGAGCGUUAAUCGGAAUUACUGGGCGUAAAGCGCGCGUAGGCGGUCUGAUAAGCCGGUUGUGAAAGCCCCGGGCUCAACCUGGGAGCGGCAUCCGGAACUGUCAGGCUAGAGUGCAGGAGAGGAAGGUAGAAUUCCCGGUGUAGCGGUGAAAUGCGUAGAGAUCGGGAGGAAUACCAGUGGCGAAGGCGGCCUUCUGGACUGACACUGACGCUGAGGUGCGAAAGCGUGGGUAGCAAACAGGACUAGAUCCCCUGGUAGUC
rnacentral:rRNA from 1 species